rnacentral:rRNA from 2 species
GAACCAACAGGGAUUGCCUCAGUAACGGCGAGCGAAGCGGCAAAAGCUCAAAUUUGAAAGCUAGCGUCUUUUAGGCGUUCGCGUUGUAAUUUGAAGAUGGCAACUUUGGCAGCGGCCUUUGCAUAUGUUCCUUGGAACAGGACGUCAUAGAGGGUGAGAAUCCCGUACAUGGCGAGGGUACCGCUGCUUUGUAAAGUGCUUUCUAAGAGUCGAGUUGUUUGGGAAUGCAGCUCUAAGUGGGUGGUAAAUUCCAUCUAAGGCUAAAUAUAGGCGAGAGACCGAUAGCGAACAAGUACAGUGAUGGAAAGAUGAAAAGAACUUUGAAAAGAGAGUGAAAAAGUACGUGAAAUUGUUGAAAGGGAAGGGCUUAAGAUCAGUCUUGGUUUUUAGUGAUCAACUGUCCUUCGGGACUGUGCACUCGCUAUUUACUAGGCCAGCAUCAGUUUUGGUGGCGGGAUAAUAGCAGCGGGAUGUGACUUUGCUUCGGUAAAGUGUUAUAACCGCGUGCUGAUGCCGCCUACCGAGACUGAGGACCGCGUCUUUGACUAGGAUGCUGGCAUAAUGAUCUUAAGCCAC